GCCCUCUUAGCUCAUCGGUAGAGCGCGUCACUAGUAACGACCGAGCGUUCAGCCCGUUUGUAAUGACGAGGUAAUUGGUUCGAUUCCAGUAGGGGGCA